UCUGCAACUUGUCAUCUUACAGUAAACAUCAAAUCUUUGCUGGCCUGUCAUGUCAGGAGCUGUGGCCUCAUGUGACUUCAUAAUAUCCCAUAAAGGAAGUCAAUUGCCACCACCAUUCAGCCUUUCAAUUGUUGUUAGACCUUGGCAUGAUUCAAUUCUGUUGCCAUUUCAGCAAUGCUACAGGGAAUAUCUUAAGCGUGUCCUAAUAGAUUCUAUUAGUUUGCCAGGUCUGCCAUAACAUAGGGCCACUUCCACUGUGGAAGGCUCCUGAUGCCUUCUGGCUCAGUGAGAAGCCCUGUCUUUAUAGAGCUCCACCCAGGAUGUCCUGGAGGAGCUGGUCGAUGGGCUCAACUAUUCCAUCUCUCCGGACAAGGGGCAGGUGCAUCAGGUGACCAAAAACAGGCAACACUGGUCUGGGGUAAGUGUGGGCACAUAGGGGUCUCCACAUUCAGGACCCCAAGAUGACUGGGGUGGACCCAGAACCCAGACUGGAAUCUGGCGACUCCCCUGGGGUCCUCCCAGGAAUAUGGUUUUCCCAGAGCUUUCCCCUUUGUGUCAGGAACAGGCCAAGGUAAUUGAGAGGGAAUGUCAUGAAGCCAAUGCUACGUGCUAUUCUCAGUUCUGACCUGUGUGAUCUUCAGCAGCCACUUGAAAUCCUUAACCAUCUGUUUCCCAAUAUCUACAGUGGGGAAGUUUGUUGAUGACUCAUUGGGAUCAUGCUCUUAACACAGGCUGUUAAUACAGGGAGGUGCCAUUGUUUCUCAGCUGACAAAAUGCCUUGAAGUUAUAUCAUUCACUCCAAAAUCAAAUGAUACCUUUAAAGCCUAGAAUCUUUAUCUGUGUGGGCAUUCAUAUCCCUCCUCUUGCCCAAGUUCCUGGGGUGGUGGGAGUUUCCAGUCUGAGCUCCAGACACUAAUCCUCCUCAUGGCUCAUGGUGAUGCCACUGACUCCAUAUCCCACCUUGUCCCCUUGAUGUGAAAAGGAGUCAGUCAUGUCCCAAGGUGAGGCGUGCAUGAUGCUGACCCCCAAGGCAGGCACAAUGGAGAAGGUGGCAGAGUCUCUGGUACCAGCCUUCCUGGAUAGAAACAUCUCCUACAUCACCACCUUCCCACGUGUGUAUCUGGCCUUCACCACCACCCAACAGGUCCUGGACCAGCUGUUCCAUAGGUCCUAUCCACCAUACAUCCCAUGCGAUGUCCUCAUAGCCUCUUUGACAUCUGCAGGCAUCUUCCUAUCUUCUGACCAGGAUGACAGACCACAGGACCACCUAAAAAAAAUAUAGCCUGUUCGUGAUUGAAGACAAUGGGCAUCAAAUCUUCACGGUAUUCAGAUCCUAAUGAGCACUUUUGAAAGAAUGAUGUGGCAGUUACAUGUUAUAAGCCGUGGGGCACAACCUGAAGACCUUCACACUCAACGUCACCAUUUCCACUCUCCAGUAUUCAACAGACAUGAGCAAGGUCUCAGUCACAUUCAACUCCAGAGAGAAUGUCCUGUAGCACCUGAAGAGACUGGUCCCAACAGCUCCUGGUGGAAUGAGUCCCAGCCAGCUGCUCCCCACCCUCUGUUCCUCCUGCUCGUCCUCCUCCUCCUUCCUCCCCAGCUUGGAUCCUUGUUCAAGAAGAGCAGCCUACUUGGGUUGCAGACUGAUCUCCCUCAGAGGAUUCAGGACGUCUCUCUAGAGUUACCACAUCCGUCUCUCCCUGGGCCUGAGAAAGAUGGGGCAGCCACCAGUGUGGAUGCUGUCUGUACCUACCACCCUGACCCUGUGGCUCAUGGCAGAGAGUGUGACAGAGAUCCCAUGUGACAGAGAGCAGCAAUACUGGGACCUGAACCAGCUCAUGCACCGUGUCACCCAGAGGGGCCUCUACUCCCUGGUCAGGGACAGCCUCUUUGUCAGUGUUUUUGACUCACCUCUCGACUGCCUCAACUGGUAUGGCUCACCCAGGCAGCUGCAAUGUAAAACAAUUACUGUUGAUUGUUCUGGCAAGUACCCUAGGGAAAGACUUUCCUCACCGAGUAAGCUCCGAGUAAAAUCAAGACAAGCUCUGACAAAUGGGACAUUUUCAAGAAGCUACCAGGAAGUGUGCUCUCCCAACAGAAAUGGUGGCUUGACUGAGAAUUCUGGUACAUUUGUCAUUCUUGCCAACAACAGAUGAAGAAACUGAGGCACCGAUGAGGUGUGAGAUCCCUGACAGUGGAGACUGUGCCUGGGAAGUUCUGAAAGGCCUCACAGAGAUGCCAUUUGCUGCAAGCAGAAUGAUAAGUGUGCAGACCUGAAAACAAGGCCAAGAGGGGCAGUGACUUUCCCAAGAUCACAGAGCUGGAACCCAGGCCUGCUUUGAGAGGUAUUCCACGCUACAUCCCACCCCUUCUUGUCAUUCUUUCAUCUCUAAGUUUGUGCAUCAGACACAUGUGACACCAGCCUGCAGGUGUUGUCAGUAUUAUCUCUUAGACACCUGACAAUGUCCCUGGGAAGCUAUUUCUAACAUCAUCCCCAUUGUGCAGGUUGAGAGAUUGAGGAGGCCCUGAGAGGCACAAUGAUGUUUUCAGGACACAGACCUGGUUGGAAAAAAGAGAUCUGGACUCAGCUGUGUGUCCUCCAACUGGAACCCUGGUUCCAUUCUCAAGGUCCUGUGUGGGGCGCUGUGCUGGAUAUUUGCCUACUGCUAUGGAGAUGACAUGGGCAAGGAGGGUGAGAGUCAAGAGCCGAGAGGGGGUUUUGGGUGGGUGUGGUUGAUGGAAGGGGACCAGGUAAUGGAGCCUUGGAGAAGUGUUCACCUCCUUGGCGACAGGCCCCAACAGAACUUAGCACUCUGGUCUCCAGGCACCCACAUUAGACAUAGCUUCCUAUUGAGCUCACUUGAGUGGAGACACUCAACACAACAGGAUGUUCUUGUCUUGUAUCCCAACUCGUGGAGGCUCUGGCUUCUGGAAAGCCGAGAAUUAAUGAGAGUCUUUUCAGUCACUGUAGACAUUGGCUCAGCCCUCACCUGCAACACCUCUGGCCGUCUGGCAGGAGGAGCCCUCAGGUAACACAGGACAGGCCACUCCAGGUCAGGCCACAGCUGGAUCCCACCUGGAGACCCCCACAAACCUUGACCCUCAUUUUGUGUCAGGGGAGUACAGUGAGGGACGGUGGGGCUGAGCAGGGACCCACCCUGGGCAGGAGCAGAUUGCUCGGUGUUGGAAGCCUGGCAGUGUCAUGUUCCUAGCCCAGGUUGUGGCUGGCAGGAUGGGAAGGUGAGUGCUGGGGACCAAGCUCCUUUACCCGUAUGUUAAUCCUGAGCUCUCUGGGUGUCAUCUCCUUCCCUCUCUGGCUGGAGGUCUAGGCAGAUGCCCCUCUGUACCUGAUCUGUUGUGGGAGUUUCCCCCCGUGGCCAAGUCGAGGCAGGCCUCUGAGACCUCGUGGCCUGGCUCUUGGGCACUGUCUUUGCAAAGCUGCACACAGGAGAUGGUCGAGGAGCUGGCGGAUAGCUUCGGCUACUCCCUCUCUCCGGAGAGGGGGCAGGUGCACCAUGCCACCAAGAAUGACCAGGGCUGGUCUGAGGUGAGAGUGGGCACAGAUGGGUCUCCCUAUCCAGGACCCUGAGAUGACCAGGGCUGGCUCAGAAUCCAGAGUCAAACUGAGAUUUCCCCGGGUACCUAACAGGGCUGUCCCACCUGAGUGUCCCAUGUUCCCAUUCCCAAAGGAAUCUGGACUUCCCCUCCUCCCCACCAGCUGCCUAGGAGGGUGGGAAGUCCCUCUUUGCACAUUCCUAGGAAGAUUAGCAGAAACAUUGGCCUUGUUUUCACUUCCCACUAGGAUGUGAGUAUCUUUGAAUUUUGCCUUUUUCUGAACCUGGGACCCCCAUAAUGAGGGUCUCAAAACUCCCUUUAAUGUAAGAGAAAGAACCAUCAGUGUCUUUUUGAAGUCAACAGGAUUCUCACAGGGUAUGUCUGCCCUCUACAUUGUCUCCAAACUAGGGAGGGGUGGGCCUCCCACAGAACAUUUCCCUCCAGGUCAAGGGCAAAUGAAGCUUCGGGCAGUUUAGAGGGAAGUUCUGUCAGCCUUCAUUUGGGGCGGUUCUCAGUUCUGACCCACAGGACCUUGAGAAGCCGCUUGGCAUGCCUAAGCCUCUGUUCUCAUCUCUAUAGAGGGGGUGUCUGUUGAGGAUUCACUGGGCUGGUGAUCAUCAUACAGGGAGGUCUGUUGUUCCUCAGAGAACAAAUGGCCUUGAGGGAGCUCACUGGAGAAUCCUUCCCCCCCAAACUCAGAUUGUACUUUGAAAGCCCACAACCUUGUUCAGUGUGGGAGCUCCUGUCCCUUCUGUAGCACACGUCCCUGAGGGGCUGGGGGUUCCUGGGUGAGAUGUAGACCUCCAUCCUCCCGGUGGUUCACGGUGAUGCCACUGACUCUAUGUCCCUCCUCGUCCCACACAAUGUGAAGAUGAGUCCACUGUGUAUCUAAAUGAGGUCUGCAGGAUGGGCACCCUCUAGGCAGGUGUGAUGGAGAAGCUGACAGAGUCCAUGGUCCCAGCCUUCCCGGGUAGAAUCAUCUGCAAUGUCACCACCUUUGUGUGCAACUACUCAGCCUUCAACACUUCCCACCAGGUCCUGGACCAACUGUUUACCAGGUGACUGCCCGCCUCCUCCUCAGCACAGUGGUGACUCUGCCCAUGGCCAGCUGUGUGUCUCGGGAAUGUCACCACAUCUCUCUGAGCCUCAGUUUGCUCCUCUGAAAAGUGGAAUUGGGGAGGAUGAACUUCCUAGGGUUCUCCCAGGGAUGAAUGGGGUCAGCCAUCCAGGUGCUUCCCUGGUGGCUGGCUCUGCAGAGAGGGCCGUGGGCCAUGCUGUGGCUGUUCUUGGUGAGCAUUUCUCUGUCCUCCAUGAAAAGUAGUCUUCCUCUCCCUUCACUGGCUUGUGGCUUUUUGAGUUUGGAAAACUACCUGUAGAGCACCCUGUCAAGGAGUUUGAGAUUCCAUCCAGCUGGUCUUAGUGCUUGUCCUUGGUAUAGCCAAUUAGGGAUCUCUGGGGCCACAGAGGGGCCCCAGACCCACUCAGAUACCUGGGGUGGUUCUGGUUGGAGUUCAUUCAACAAUUAAGUGCCUACUCCACGCAGGACUUUUGAAGACACUUAGCAUAACUCAAUGAAUGAAGCAGACACCAUCCCUGGUCCUCAAUUCUACUCUGAGAGUCAGGCAGUCACACUCGAAAUCAUUCACAGGUACUGUCCACUAUACGAACCAUGAGAUGCCCUUGUAUCUUCUUGGACAUAUGGAGGCAUCUUCCCACAUUGUGAGUGGGAUGAUGGACCAAAGGACCACCUAAAAAAAUGAGUGGUCUUUGGGUCCAGAAGGAGGGCCUCCUGUCUCUAGAGAACAUGUUUGAGGGAGAGUAUGGGGCUGUGGCUUUGGCAGGCCUAGCAGAACCCUGCAUCUCACUCAUCUUUUGAUUCUUAUGGGAGGGCUGAGUUCUGGUGGCUUCCACUCCAGGAGGACAGGAGUCAAAGAGAGCUGUGGAUGGGUCUCAGGCCCCCUGGGAACCAGAAGGGAAGCUGGGCUUAGUUGUUCCCUAGAGACCCAUCCCACCAGAGUCUCAUCUCACUCUGCCUCCCUUUCUCCACAUCCACCCCUUUUGGCCACCACCACCAGGUCCAGAGCAGGAGAUGCAUGAUAAAGUUGCUCACAAAUCUGCCUGAGUCUUCAGUCCAGUGGCCCUCGUGCAUGGAGGGUUGGGGUGGGCUGUAUCCAGGCCCUUUGGGAGAAGAGUGUCAGUGGGAACAAGAGACUCCCACAGACUCUGUGUUCAACCUGGUGGAUGAGCAGGCCUGCCACUGCAAGGACAGCCACACAGGGUUCAGGGCUGGGAUGGGGCUCUCCUCUGGAGGAGAAGAGGCAGGCACAGGGGUCCAGAUCCAAACAAGGGUGCUUCAGGAGGGCAGUGUGGAAAGAAAGGCCAGGUCUCUGACUCUGCGGCCCAUCUGCUGCUCCUCAGUGCUAUCUCUUUUAUGGUGGGAAGCUGGCUGGACCAAGGGCAGGAUUUCUGGGAGCGCCUGCACUUUCCCUGUUUGACAGUGAAGCUGGCCAUUGUUCAUGUCAGCUUUGGUGGCUGAAGGGAAAUGGAGGUACUGUAGACAAUCAGACUGGAGCAGCUUCGGUGCAGAUGUGACUCAGCAUGUCCCCUGCAGGCAGUGCACACGCCAACCAUGUAUGUAAACACCUUACGUAACCUGCAUAAUGUAAACAUUGUAUGUCAUCUGCUGGCUGUAUGCCGCUUUUGUCUAGUAGUCAUUUAAAAGUGGCCACAAGGGGAGCUGCUGUGCUCCCACCGUCUGUGGGCCAGAGUAAACAAAGAGUAUGUCUCCCUUGCGGUUGGCUGCUCACAGCUUUUUUCUUUUCUGUUUUUUUUUUUUUUUUGAGGAAGAUUAACCCUGAGCUAACAUCUGCUGCCAAUCCUCCUCUUUUUGCUGAGGAAGACUGGCCCUGAGCUAACUUCUGUGCCCGUCUUCCUCUACUUUAUAUGUGGGACACCUACCACAGCAUGGCUUGCCAAGAGGUACCAUGGCUGCACCCAGGAUCUGAACUGGUGAACCCUGGGCCGUGGAAGCAUAACGUGCACACUUAACCAUUGUGCCACUGUGCCAGCACCUUGCACCUUUUUCAAUUCCCCAAGCCCCAUAGUCCAGUCCUUGGCUGUUUUUCUCCUGCUUACAAUUGACCUAGUCAGCCAGAUUCUGGGGUGAGUGGACCUAUGGCUCCUGAGGCUGACGGGACGGACAUGUGGCCACCCACUAGUAUGUGGUUCCUGGUGGUGGAGGUCCUGCUGAAUUGGGCUCCUGCAGAAGGAUGGGAGUCUGUGGAUGGUACCCCAGUCAGCACUGAGACGGCUCUGCGUAGCCUAGGGGAGCAGGUGCCGGAGAAGGCCCAGCGUGCCAUGGGGCCGGCUGGCUGUUUUUGACAGCGUUAUGCUGCAACAUGGAUUCUGCCCUGCAGGAUGCAACCUGCAUACAGGAACUCCAAGCCAAGGAGCAUGCCUUGGAGGUGCGGGUGUGGCAGUUGGAACUGGAGCUGGAAAUGGUGCCUCGCAGUGAGACAGCAGAGGACACUGAGGUUGGGGACUGCCGAGGAUGGGGACGUGGAGGAAACAUGCCCUCUCCAUGCUUGGCCAGUAAUCCAGCAAAAGGUAAAGCAUGAGCAACCCUUGGGUCUAGGAGGUGUCGCCCAAGGAGCCUCGAUUGUGACAGAGUUCAUGGCAUAGUCCCCUUAUACGCCAAUGGAACUGUGGGACCUGUGUAAGCAGUGCAGGCAACAGCUGGGUGAGCCCAUACUGGCCUGGCUCCUGUGGCUAUGGGAUGAGGGGGCGGAUAGUAUAAUCUGUACUUCUGACGAGAUGGAGAAGCUGGCCUCCAUCACGUUGCCCCCCUCCAUCUGGCAGUGGUUCCAGAAUAGCUGCCAGCUAGGCCAAGGGCAGGGAAAUCACUCCAUGAUGGAGUGGGUGACAGCUGCCGCCCGGACUGUGUGGGAUAACGCCGGGGAGCUCCUGGAGACUGUGAGCCAAUGGCAGACCUAUGCGGAACUGGUGCAAGUUAUCCGUGAGUUGGAAAUGUGGCAAGCCAUUUUUAACCUUCAUACCCGGGGGCCCAAUGAUGAGUGCUUUAUGUCCAGGAUGAAGGACUUGGUCCUUAACUCAGCCCCAUCUAAUGCUUUUGGGUCCUUGGUGGCCAUGAGGUAACCACUGCAAUGGCCACUUUGGGGGAUGUAGAAGGCUGACAGAAGGAGAAAACCAAGCGUGUCACACGGUGAGUGGUGCCAAAGCUGAGAGCAGGCUUGGCAGAGAAAGGGCCUAAACAAGUUACCUGCAUGUAAAAGUGGGUAGACCUGCUAGCCUCAGGCAUUGAUCAGAUGAAAAUAACUGGCAGCCGAAUGCUGUCUUGGUGGCACUGUGGCAUCAGUUGAAGCCUGAGCAACAGUUCUAAAAGACUGUGGAAAGGCGAAAGAAUCCCAGCAAGAACAGGCAAGUAAGCCUCCAGGACUUUACACAGCCCUGAGGUGAGGAGCCCAUGUACCUCUUUGACUAGGGGAGAGGCCGGAGUGCCUGGCUUGGGGGACCCCUGGAGGACUGGAGGCCACAUGUGGAACUUGCGAUUUACCGGUCCCCCACAAAUGUGCAGCGUGCGCUGGCAUUGGUAGAUACUGGAGCUGAGUGUAGUCUGAUUUAUGGCAACCCGGAUAAAUUUCCAGGGAAGCUGGCAUAUGUUGAUGGCUUGGAGGCCAUACUGUGAAAUUGAAGCCAGUGUCUCUGUCCCUUGGCAUUGGCUGUUUGCUGCCCCAAGUGUACACAGUGUCUGUGUCUCCUAUCCCCGCGUAUGUUCUGGGGGUAGACGUCUUGCCAGGACUGCGCCUGCAGAUGACCAUGGGCGGGUUCUGCCUACGAGUGCAUGUGGUUAAGUCUGUUGUCCAGGGGCAUACACACCACCUGCUGCAAGUGUUGCCGGUGCCACGACAUGUAGUGACCACCCAACAGUAUUGCCUCACAGGUGGACAUGAGGAGAUCACACAGACCAUUGCAAAAGUAGAAGAGGCUAGGAUCUUGCAAUCCACCCAAAGCCCUUAUAAUUCCCUGGUUUGGCGAGUGAGGAAGGCUGACGGCACAUGGUGUAUGACUGUGGAUUACUGGGAAUUAAAUACAGUGACUCCUCCAUUGCAUGCUGCUGAGCCCUCAGUGCAUGACAUAAUGGAUCAACUGACAGUCCAAUUGGGACAGUACCACUAUGCUGUGGACCCUGCUUUUCCACCGAUAUUCCGGCUGAGAGUCAAGAUCAGCUUGCCUUCACCUGGGAUGGCAGACAGUGGACAUUUUGUGAGUGGCCACAAGGGUACCUGCCUAGCCCCACUAUUUGUCAUGGCUCAUGGCUCAGGAUUUAGCUGCUUGGACUCACAGUGAUACAGUGCUUGUGUUUCACUAUAUUGAUGAUGUUAUGUUAACCUCUGACUCUUGCAGAUCUACAGCAGACUCCUGAGUCCCUGUGGAAGCAUCUGGCAAUGUGGUUGGGCGGCCAAUGAUGCCAAAGUCCAGGGACCUGGCUUAUCUGUCAAAUUCUUGGGGGCUGUCUGGUCGGGUAAGAUGAGGGUGAUACCUGAAGCAGUCAUUGACAAAAUACAGGCGUACCCCCUGCCAACAACUGUAGCUCAAUUGCAAACAUUUCUGGGCCUGUUGGGGCACUGGUGAGUGUUUAUCCCUCGUUUAGCCCAGGUGGUGAGGCCCCUAUAUGCUGUGGUAAAGAAGGGAGCCCUGUGGGACUGGACAGAUGCUGCAGACCAAGCAUUUAAGGCUGCCAAGAGUGCUGUGCAGCAGGCACAAGCUUUACAGGUGGCUGACCCAGGACAGCCAUAUGAAUUGGACGUCCAUGUUACCCAGGAGGUUUCGGCUGGGGCCUGUGGCAGCUUCACCACUGGGUACGAGCCCCUGUCGGGUUCUGGUUCCAACUAUGGAAAGGAGCGGAAAUACAAUGUUCUCUAGUGGGGAAACAGUUGGCAGCCACCUAUGCCACCCUGAUAGUGUGUGAGGCUAUCACACGAAUGGCCCCUGUUCAGCUUAGAACCAUGUCCCCUAUUCAAGGAUGGCUCCGGUCAUGGGCUACCCGUCCACAGUCUGGCGUGGCCCAGACCCCUACCUUGUCACAGUGGGGGGCUUAUCUAGAACAAAGGAGCUCGGUGAGUUCCAGCCCCCUGAGUAUGGAGCUACAGAGGGUGUUAGGGUCGGUUGAGUUCCUUGCUGUGGGGGAACAGACUCCUAUGGCUCCUCUAGGCAUAGAGCCCAUGCCCUGUGCUGAGGGAAAGCUCCCGGUCCUGGAGGGUGCUUGGUACACUGAUGGUUCUAGUAGAGGGCCAGCUGCUAUGUGGACAGCCAUGGUUAUGCAGCCAAGCCCUGAUACCAUUUGGUUUGAUACUGGCACCAGCCACAGCAGCCAGUGGGCAGAAUUAUGGGCUGUCUGGAUGGUUAUCACCCAUGAACCAGGGCCCUUAGCUGUUUGUACAGAGAGCUGGGCAGUGUACCGGGGAUUGACCCUGUGGUUAUCUGUGUGGCAGGCUCAGCAGUGGUUGUCCAGAAACCACCCCAUGUCGGGGCAGGCCAUGUGGCAGGAACUAUGGGCCUUGGGCCAUGGAAAAGAGGUGACAGUGUAUCAUGUUCCCGGCCAUAUGCCUCUGACUGCUCCUGGGAACGAUGAGGCUGAUGCUCUGGCCCGUGUGAGGUGGCUGGAAAGAGCCCCGUCUGCAGAUGUGGCGCACUGGCUACAUUGAUGCCUAAAUCAUGCAGGGAGCAAGACCGUGGGAACAGUGAGUAACACUGGGGGGUACCCCUCACGUGGCAACAAAUAAUGACAGCAUGUCAAGAAUGUGCUGUAUGUGCCCAGGCCUUUCCUAAUAGAAGGAAACCAGUGUCCACACAGCAGCAAGUAGCUGGAGGGCGUGUGCCCUUGGUCUGACGGCAGGUGGACUACAUCGGACCAUUACCGAAGACCAAAGGCGCUGUGUACGCCUCUACGGCUGUCGAUAAGGCCACCGGUUCCCUCUUUGCACGGCCCUGUGCAGCCACAGAUCAGAGGCAGACACUUCAGGCCCUUGCAGGUACUCUGUGCCUUUUAUGGUUGACCCUUGGUCGAGGAGAGCGACAAGGGGACACAUUUUACAGGACAAGAAGUCCAAUGGUGGGCCAGCACCAUGGAUGUUCAAUGGCUUUUCCAUACUCCUUAUAACCCGGCUGCUGCCAGGAUGAUAGGAAGGUAUAAUGGGCUUUUAAAGCAGGGCUCACACACAGCCACACAGCCUUCCUCCCUGGGAGGCUGGGCAACUCGGUUGCGGCAGGUGCUGAUGGUGUUCAAUGAACAGCCUCAAAAGGGAGGGCCAGCUCCCACAGAGGCUGUGUCACAGCCCCCACACAGCUGCAAGCAGUGACCACUGAUGAGUUACUAAAGCCUGGCUACGGCCGAAAUUACGGCCGAAAUGGAAACAUUCUUUUGCCGGCCCCAACAUGUCUCAACAUGGGGGAAGUACGAGAAUGAGAAUGGCCUUGAAGAUAAAAGCCCGUCACGGCAAGCGGCUGGCGCCUUGAGCACCCUGGGGACUUGGGGAACAACAAGACAUGUCACCUUGUGGGUGACUAGGACUUGGACCCCUCAGGUAACUGUCAGGCUGCCACAGACCGAUGCCAGUUCUGUCCUGAAGGGAGCAUAUGUGAUUUCCAUGUGGCCAAUAAUGAGUUCCCCUGUCCUGCUGCAUGUGGAGCCAGCUCUUGCAGCGCCUCUGCAAGCAGGAAAGGUGUGGUAUCAUCAGCUGGGAUGGCCCCUGUUGGCAGCCACCCUCUUGUCUCAGGAUAAGUGGCUAGCCUGUGUUCUGCCUGAAGGACGUGAUUGGCUCCUCCUAGUUCCUAUCACUGCUUUGUCCUUUCGCCCAUAGACGGAGAGUGGUGAACAGUGUUGCAGAAUGGGCGCACACCUAGCUGAGGUGACCAACAUAGCUAACUGCUGGGUGUGCACAGAACUGCCCACCAGCACUGCAGAAGGCUCGCUGUGACACAUCCACCCUGCUUCAGAAGGGAACUGGACCUGGCUGUGUUCCUGAGGACCUGCUGAUGCUCAGUGGGACCAAAGAAGGCACCAAGUGGACCAGUAGCUGUGCUGACAACAUGGACGAAAACGGCCCUGGGUGACCCUGAGCCUCUGGGAUGACUAUGGGUGGUUAUGUGGGGAGGCUGUUGUGCUCUGCGUGUCUGUGCCCCCGUGCAUAGAGCAACAGAAGGGGGAUGUGAUAGCAGGAUAGGUACCCAAGGAGCUGUGUCAGAAGAUCCAGUGAGUGACCCAGCCCAAGUAUUGGUGGAAUGCCCAUCCCUAUGUCGGGACAGUCCCCAUGGACAGAGUGCCCACGGGCAGUCUCUGGGUCUGUGGUAGUUAUGAAUGGCCUUAUCUCCCUGGCCAACUGGACAGGGUGAUGCACUUGGGGGUGGCCCUACCUCCCAGCUGCUGUUCAGAGAACUUUGGAUGUGUGACCCAGCAAUUGGGAGAGGGUAAAAAGGCGCUGUCACUGGGAGAAAUGAAUGCCCUGGUGGGUUUACCUCCUGGCUGUUCUUAGUCCGUCCGCGGGGACUAUUGCUGUGAAGUGGCAGGUUACUGCCUUGACAGAGCAUAACGCCCGAGCCCUCAGUCAUACAGCCCGGGCCCUGUCUCUCUUAGCUGAUGAAGUAGACCAGACCCAGAAGGUCAUGCUGCAGAACCACAUGGCUCUAGACAUCCUUACUGCAGCACAAAGGGGGACCUGUGCAGUUACUGAGGUGCAAUGUUGCACGUUUAUACAAGAUAGUGCAAGGAACAUAUCGCAAGCCUUGCGACAGGCCAGGCACAAGAUCUCGUGGAUCCAGACAUUGACAGGAGACCCCCUGCAGGAACAGUGAUCUAAGUUGUCCUCCUCGUGGCAGUGGGCUCUGACCACAUUAGGAGGUAUAUCCUGUCUCCUGAUGGUCAUUUGCUGUUCUCUGUAUUGCUGUUGUGGAAUGUAGGUCCAAGGCAUUGGGCUGUGUGCCCAUGCCUCCCGCAAACUCCCCCCACUGCUGAGGUCUGAUGAGGGUGGAGGGAAGGGAAAUGGAGGUACUGUGGACAAUCAGACCGGAGCAGCUUCCGGGCUUCUGUGGCUCAGCAUGUCCCCUGCAGGCAGUGCAUGUGCCAUCCAUGUAUGUAAACACCUUAUGUAACCUGCAUAAUGGAAACAUUGUCUGCUGGCUGUAUGCCACUUUUGUCUAGUAGUCAUUUAAAAGUGGCCACAAGGGGAGCUGCUGUGCUCCCACCAUCUGUCUGCCAGAGCGCAUAGAGUAUGUCUGCCUUGCCACCGGCAGCUUGCACUUUUUUUCAAUUCCCCAAGCCCUGUGGUCCAGUCCUCAGCCGUUUCUCUCCUGCAUACAGUGGCUCAGACCUGGAGGGCCAUGCCUAUCUUUUCCCAGUUGAGCUGGAGCAUCUCGAGUCCAUUGAGGCAGAGUGGGUAGGUGGGGGGACUACAGACUGGGAAGACAGUCUGUGCAGGGGUUCAUGGGCUGGAGUUCUCUUAAAGGCAGUGGAGUCUUUCCUGUCUUUGGAAAGGCACAGGAAAUGUCAGGUAUGUGGGUGAAACUUUCUCUUUAUCCUGCUCCAGAGCCAGCUCCAGAGCUCCUGCCACUUCCAGAGCCAGAGCAAGGGCCAGCUCCUGGGCUAGAGACAGGUCCAGCUCAAGUCCCACCACCUGUGGGAGAGCUGGAGCCAGCAUCACCUGCAUCGGCCCUUCCAGGACUGGAGUUAGGGCCACCAUUGACUUCAGCCCCAGAGCCAGCUCCUUUGCUGGAGCCAACUGGACUCUGGGCUCUAGUGACAUUUCCAGUUCCAUCUGCACAAAUAACGAGCAUGCUGGAUCCAGCCCCAGAACCCUUCUGGCCCUGGGCUGUGACCACCAAGAACCAGCUGAGGGAGGAGAUGCCAAACCUCUUGGACUUCCCUCCCCAGCUGGUGGCAGAGCAGCAGACGAGGAUGGCUGCGACUCCAGGCCCCCAACAAAGAGCCCAGUGGCGGUGGCAGAUGACCCUCCUGAGAGCAGCUGAACUACAGCCUUUUCCUCAGCAGGGAACACAGCUGGGACACUCAGGGUGCACAGGGCCACCUCCUUCCAUUCUGAUGGGGAGAACUUUGUGAUCCUUUUCCCAGGGGUCCCCUGAAGGUGACAAGGGAGGCCAUGACCCCCCCAUCUCCCUCACACCUUUUCCCUAGUGCCUAUUUACCUCUUUGGAGGGGCCAUAUUUCUGUCGUCAGUGGUAAAUGCUGCUUUUGAAUGUUAUAUUAAACGCCUGUUUCCUUCUCAGCCUGGGAGUGCUGGU
rnacentral:lncRNA from 1 species